GUUUACGUAGUUUACUUAAAACACUACAUUUUCACUGUAGAAAAGGGCAAAUCUGCCCCGUAGAUA
rnacentral:tRNA from 1 species